rnacentral:rRNA from 1 species
UAAACGACUCUCGGCAACGGAUAUCUCGACUCUCACAUGGAUGAAGAACGUAGCGAAAUGUGAUACUUGGUGUGAAUUGCAGAAUCCCGUGAACCAUCGUGUCUUUGAACGCAAGUUGCGCCCGAAGCCAUCCGGCCAAGGGCACGUCUGCCUGGGCAUCACGUAUCGCGUCGC